UACGGAGGGUGCGAGCGUUGUCCGGAAUCACUGGGCGUAAAGGGCGCGUAGGCGGCCUGAUAAGUAGGGGGUGAAAUCCUGCGGCUUAACCGCAGGGCUGCCUUCUAAACUGUCAGGCUGGAGCACAGUAGAGGCAGGUGGAAUUCCCCGGUGUAGCGGUGGAAUGCGUAGAGAUCGGGAAGAACAUCAGUGGCGAAGGCGGCCUGCUGGGCUGUUGCUGACGCUGAGGCGCGACAGCGUGGGGGAGCAAACAGG
rnacentral:rRNA from 1 species